AUUUGCAGCAAGUAAGGCACCUUUAGGAAGCCUCCUUCUUAGGAAUCUUUGCUGAAAGGAAAAAUCUGCAGGACACCGUGGUUGCUUCCUCCCCUUUCUGGCUUUGUUGGUCAUCUGGGAGGUUGGCCCUGUGCUGUAUUUUUCUGGGACCUGUUCACAUCCUUCCCGCAGCUGGAUGGGAGAUGUUGGAAGACAGCAGUACACCCAAGGGAACUGUUUCCUGGAAGGGGCUGCUGGCAGUCAUGUGGGUCAACUUUGC
rnacentral:lncRNA from 12 species